UCACUACUUGCGUAGGCAGUCUUGCUAGAGUCCCCGCCAUCACGCGCUGGUAACUAGCAACAGGGGUUGCGCUCGUUGCGGGACUUAACCCAACAUUUCACAACACGAGCUGACGACAGCCAUGCAGCACCUGUCACUCGGCUCCCGAAGGCACUCCGCCGUCUCCGGCAGAUUCCGAGGAUGUCAAGGGUAGGUAAGGUUCUCCGCGUCGCAUCGAAUUAAACCACAUGCUCCACCGCUUGUGCGGGCCCCCGUCAAUUCAUUUGAGUUUUAACCUUGCGGCCGUACUCCCCAGGCGGUCGACUUAUCGCGUUAACUGCGCCACAAAGUCCUCUAGGGACCCAACGGCUAGUCGACAUCGUUUACGGCGUGGACUAC
rnacentral:misc_RNA from 1 species